GGAGCUUGAAGAGGUGGGGGCAGAAGUGCUCCAUCCAACCAGAGAAGGCCUAAAUGAGCCUUGAUGUGGUUCAUCGGGAGAAUAAACAAUUCUGAAACGGUUCCCAGAGGAACUUUGUGGGUCGAGUCCUUUAACCUUUGUAGUAUUUCCUGUCCUGGCAUUCCCUUCAUUAAACCUUCAAUGUUUAUUUUCUACUUAGUUUGCUUUUCCCUGACGGUCAUAGUGAAUGAAAAUGUCACCCAAUACCAAAGCAGAUGAUGUGGUAGGAAAGCAACAAGGACUUUGGGAUGUAAGCACUCUAUUUGGGUUUUUAGUAAUUUGGCAUACAUCCACCAAGAGGGACGUUGUUAAAGAUUAAUGGAAUAAUGCAUGCGGAAGUGUGUUGAAAUGAGAGGGUGCAUGAUUUUUUAUGUGAUACAAGAAUGCUAUUUUAGAGUAAGCAUCUGUAGGUGUAUUUGUGUCUGGGUGUGUAUGGGUGUGUGUAUGGGUGUAAUGCCUUUGUGUAUAUGUGUGUUUCAUAUAUGUACAUGUGUGUUUGUACAGUGCAUGUGUGUAUGUGUGGAUAUGUGGUAAUUGACAAGAAAACAUUGGGACAAUUAGUUAGAACUAUGAACUGAUGGGCUGAACUGUUCUCCCGCUUUUUAUUUUUUGCACCAGAAACCUCUCUAGUAGCACUUGACAUUGUGAGUAGAAUUAAUAUUUGCACAUAAACUGAAGGUAAAUGAUGAAUAACUUCCUGAGACUUCUGGUCUUCUUUGAAGCCAAAAUAAGAGGGAGGAUCUUAGGUAACUUAUUUGCAUUUGAAGAUAUUCUAGGUCUGGUUUAGUUGCUGACUCGCUGGUGGUCCUUCUGCAGAGCUUGGGUAAAGGCUGUAGGCCUGGCUCCUCAGUUCUCCAGAGUCAGUGCAUGGCCAGCACAGUAGUCUGUGUUUCUGGUUUUUGUUUGUUUUGGUUCUGUUUUGCUUUUGGUCUUCCCUUCUUCUUAAUAUACUAGCAAGAAGUUUGGAGAGUACAUUCUAGAUUUCUCUCCCUUCCCUGAUUUUCAUGGUUUAUAGAGUGGAAAGACUGCAGACUGCCCUCCAAUAUGUUCCCGUGUGUCUGACAUUUGGAAGAAACUCCCCAAAUUCCCUUUUACUAUUCCUUGCCACCAUGAGUGUCACUCUUUGCUGUCAUGUUUCACUGCUACACUCUCUGCGCUAUAAGGACAGGGGCUGUCAUAUUUGUGCCUGGUGCCAGAUACAUGACCACCAACUAAAUACUGGCCUCAAGGCACAAAUGAAUCAAUAGCAGGUAACUGGGGAAAGCGCCCAGAAUCUAAUGCAAAUGCUGAGUAUAAAGAAUUAGUCUUGGACGUGGAAUCUUGCUCCUCUGCUGACGAGGCAAACAAAGCCCACUUUUGGAAUAACUACAUUGUAAAUAACACUAGUGGCAGAUUUUACAGGGGCAAUGAGACAGCCCAUGUUAAAAAGAAUUUUUUUUUCUCUGGGUGACUUUUCAGCUUAUUUUGCUGAGUGUAAAAUUCUUUUAUAUACUUUUACAAGAAGGAAGGAGGCAUGCUUUAUUAUAUCAGCAUAAAUGCAAGACGAGGAACUUUGAAAAAGGAAAACAAUUGAAAUUCUGCACAGAAAAUGUUUUAAAAGACUAAUGCAGGCACACUGUUGUAUAUUCAGAAGUAAAGUGACCAUGGAAGGGAAAGAAAGGAGGCAGAAAAACUCUUUCCUAUUUGUACCAAUAAAGGAUAAAUGCUUGUUAUUUCCCUUUGAACAUCAUCAUAUUGGAUUUGGAGAGCACUAUUUUCCAGAAUUUAAAAUGCAACAAUCCAUAGAGAGGAACUGUUCCUCUGGCAGCCAAACCUUGAAAAACAAAUUUAGGAUUAAAAGCAAAUACAUCUGAACCAAAAAAAAUUUAAAUCAAACCAAUUUUAUUUCAAAUUAUGAGCAAGAAAUGCCCUGCCUGUUUACCACCUGCAUUUUCCCAAUAAUUUAUAAUUAGAACCCAGCAGUAAGUAUUGAUUUCCAAUUGAUGGAUAUCAUCUGUGCCCUAAUAAACUGACAGACCUUCAGAAAUCUAUCCAGGGAGACCUUUAGAAUACAUGACAUGAGUUAAACAUAUUUUAUUUAACACCAGAGAAAAUUUGCAUUUCAUCUCUCAGGCUUUUACGAAACUGCUGUAAAUGAUUCAGCCCAGCGUUUAGAUUUCAGAGUCAUUUCAUUUCAAUUUGGGUGCACUCUUGUAUAAUUCUUAGCUUUUGUUCAACCAAAUGUAGACGACCGACAUUUAGCAUGUGGAAUAACAUGUCAAAAAUAUGGGAUGCUUCAAUUCACGGUUUGUGGAUUUAGUAAAGAUGUGAAAUAAAGCCUUUGAUGCGUGUAAAAAUCACAGUAAAAUGUAAGUGAAACCUAAUUGUAAAAUGUAAAUGAGGUCUAAUUGUUUACCAUGCUCUUGUAACUGGAAUCCUGCUGGGUAAUACACCACAGCAUCCUCUAGAAAGUGGUGAUGCAGGGUCAUUGAAGUCCAGAGAGGCUUAGCUCCUACAAACGCUGUCCUUGUUUAUGAGAAAUGACUGGGGCAUUUCUUCCAGGCUUGAGAUCCUGUUUUGUGUAGUUGGCAGCCUGUUCAAGUUAUAACCACCGAAGACAGGGUAUUCACACAGAAAAUGCAAAGAAUCAGUGUCCUUAAAAGAUUACUCUGAACAAACUAAGGAUCCUAGACUAAAGCCUUAUUUUAUUAGCAGUAUUUUUAUUAUUUAUUAUUUUUAUAAUAUGAGAAAAAAUAAAGCAGAGAAGGGCUCAUACUUUGCCUUACUAAUGUGUCCAUUUACCAUAAAUUCCAUUUAGAUUUUUGUAGCAGAAUGAAUUUGUUUUUUUUUUUUUUUUUUUUUUUCAGUCUUGUUUUGUUUUUAGGAAGACAGCAACAACAUGCAGGUUCAAUAAGAAGUGGGGCCCUCCGGCAUUUCUAUGUGGAUGUUGUUUGUUUUCUGGGGAAAAAAAAGAUCCUAUUAGCAGGUUCAUUUGUAUAAUAAUCAUUCAUUAAAAUAGACUCCAUGGCAAUGAAAUACUGUACUUGAAUUCCAGCACAAAGCCUUUAAAAAGCUAAAAUGUCAAAACAAUAAAACUAAUUAAGGCAACAAAAUAGCUUUUUCCAGCUUAAUGACAAGCUGGUCCAAAAACACACUUCAAUGAUUUUUCUCUCCCCCAGAGACACUUUAAGUAAAGCAAGGAUAGAAUUUUCUGCAAUCGUUAUCUAGCCCAACAUCAUCGAGGAACCUGGCCCAUCUGAACUGUCUGGCAAAGGAGGUAACAUGUCUACCUUUGGCUAGCUUCCCUCCCUCCCUUUCUGCCUCCCCUCCUGUCUUCCACAAACAUUUAUGAGGGUUUGCUCUGCUGCAGGCACUGGUGCUGUGGGGAGGGAUGGGGAACAAACUGAGCCAGCUGUGGAUCCAGAAGUCAAACAGCUGAUGGGCUAGAAAGGGAGGCAACAGGUAAAUAACUGUAAUCCAGGGGAGAAAAAUAAUGCAUUUCAAAAUUAAACAAAACUUGUGAGAAUAAUACACAUACCCCGUGCCCAGAGAUUGGGUUCCAAUUUUGCCAAUUGGUCCAGCAAUGACCUUCAUAGUAAAGGAUCCAGUCUGGCAUCAUGGGUUGCACAUGGUUGUCACCUCUUUUUAGUCUCUUUAAUCUGAAACAAUUCUUCAGUGUUUCAUUGAUUUUUAUGAUCUUACCAAUUUUAAAGGUUAUGGGUCAGCCGUUGUAUAGAAUGUCUCCUGAUUUGGGAUUGUUUGAUGUUCCCUUAUGAUUAGAUCCUGGUAAUAUGUUUUUGGCUAGAAUAUCGCAGAUACUGUGCUCAAAUUUUGUUAUAUCCUCUUGGGGGGGGGUGCAUGAGUGAUUUUUCCUGCUAACGGUGGUGUUUACAUUCAUCAUUUGAUUUGCAUAAUGUUUUCCAAGUUUGGCCGCUACAAGUUACUUUUUAAGAAAAUGGGGAUUAAUACUUUGUGGGCAGAGACUUCAAGACCAUGUGAAAUUCUGUUUCCCACUUCAUGUUCAUUCACUAAUUUCAACAUCUUUGAUGUUUCCUGCCUGAAUUAAUUAUUACUCUAGUAAUAAUUAGUGUUGUGUGCCAAUCACAACAUUGUAAAUUCAACUAUACUCAAUAAAACUAUAAAAAAAUGAAAAAAAUUGCCAAAAAAAGGUUUUCUAAUGCCAUUUUCUCCCUUGUAUUUAGUAUGCAUUUUUAUUAGUAUUAUUUUUAUUAUUAUGACUUUUUGUUAUAAGGAAUAGCUUUCUCUCCUUAUUUAUGUGACUUUUAAUGUUUUUAGUUAUAUCAGUAUUGACACAUAGAUUCUUAAUUCCUAAAAACUCUUAUUAUUUACUUGGUUAUGAUCCAUUCCUGUAAUUAUUUAUUUUGAUGUUCAGUUUUCCCCCGACUUGGCAAGUGAGAGCUCCUUCAAGUUUGCUUCCAUGUCUUUUUGGUAUGACCUCAUUAUUCUUUGACCAUUUCCAUGCUUCCUGGUGUCAUAUGACAUUUCAGCCUCCUCUUGUGCCAUAACCAAGGGUGCUUCAACAAUCAUUCAUGUUUUCAAAGAGCUCUGGUGCAUUUAGCGUUGUCUUUGGAAACCAAGAUCUGGGCUACUAGAGUGUCACUGCUUUUUCACCCUUUCCGUGGAAAGAAUUGGGAUUUACAUACAUGUGCACAUUUAUCAGUGUGUUUAUUUUAUAUCCAUCGAUGUAUCUCUUUGUUUAUCUAGAUUGAAAACUUUGAAUUUACACUGAUGUCUCCAGCUCCAAGCCAACGAGAGAUUUGUUCUAGGCUCUUCCUUUCCAUGCUUGCAUCAUUUUUCCAACUGGGAGAAACCUGGUUCCCUUUACUUUAAUAUUCCUACAUUUAGCCUGUCCAUCUGCCCACCCCCACCCCAACACUCCUGCUGGCCUCAGUCCUGGCUCAGGCCUGCCUAUGCCUUUUUGAUGAAGGAAGGAAGAAGGGAGGGACGGAGGAACUUUUUUUUUUUUUUUUAAAGAAAUGAAGGAAUGGGAAGAGGACUGGAUAUUUGUUUUUGACAUGUUUUAAUUUUAAAAACAAAUGAUUUUGGUUUGAUAGCUAUGCUGGUUGUUUUUCAUGCAAGUUCGGUAUUGGUUUACCAAGCAGUCGCUUGACUCCACUUGGGUGUUUCUCCCCAUGUGUCCUCAUAGUAGCCAUCAGGCCUUCAUUCAGGAGCUCAUGGAACAUCUAGACCUUUAUUCUCUUCAUGCCUAGUCUAGCAUAUUAAUGAUAUUCCUUGGAGAGUAAAAAGGUUAAUUUCAUUUUCCUAAUAUGUUCUAUCAUUUUCUCAUCUGAGUAAUAUUACCCAUGAAAACAAUUCUUAAAUAUGAAAUACAAACUGAAGUUUUUGUUAUAGUAAACGCCCCAUGAAUCAAUAGUUUGUCUCAUGUUCAGUGUCGAAUAGAAAUUUGGAGGAAGAAUUUAUUAGUGAAGUUUGCGCUGGGGCUUGAGGAGGAGGUCAGACUUAGAGCGUUGUUUCUUCCAGUUUAUUCCCUGGAGUAUUUGUUAUGUAAUAUGAACUUCAAAAAAAUACUCCUAGUCUAUUAAAUUUGGUAACUAUAUUAUAGCA
rnacentral:lncRNA from 1 species